rnacentral:rRNA from 1 species
GGGYUUCYUGAGUUGUAGACUUCGGUCUGCUACCUCUUACCCAUGUCUUUUGAGUACCUUCGUUUCCUCGGCGGGUCCGCCCGCCGAUUGGACAACAUUCAAACCCUUUGCAGUUGCAAUCAGCGUCUGAAAAAACAUAAUAGUUACAACUUUCAACAACGGAUCUCUUGGUUCUGGCAUCGAUGAAGAACGCAGCGAAAUGCGAUAAGUAGUGUGAAUUGCAGAAUUCAGUGAAUCAUCGAAUCUUUGAACGCACAUUGCGCCCCUUGGUAUUCCAUGGGGCAUGCCUGUUCGAGCGUCAUUUGUACCUUCAAGCUCUGCUUGGUGUUGGGUGUUUGUCUCGCCUCUGCGUGUAGACUCGCCUUAAAACAAUUGGCAGCCGGCGUAUUGAUUUCGGAGCGCAGUACAUCUCGCGCUUUGCACUCAUAACGACGACGUCCAAAAGUACAUUUUUACACUCUUGACCUCGGAUCAGGUAGGGAUACCCGCUGAACUUAAGCAUAUCAAUAAGCGGAGGAGRA